GACGAGGGAUCCUAGCGUUGUUCGGAAUCAUUGGGCGUAAAGCGGGUGUAGGUGGGCUUCUAAGUCAGAUGUGAAAUCCCAGGGCUCAACCCUGGAAGUGCAUUUGAUACUGGAAGUCUUGAGUGUGGUAGAGGUUACUGGAAUUGUUGGUGUAGUGGUGAAAUACGUAGAUAUCAACAGGAAUACCGGAGGCGAAGGCGAGUAACUGGGCCAACACUGACACUGAGACCCGAAAGCGUGGGGAUCAAACAGGAUUAGAAA
rnacentral:rRNA from 1 species